CUCCCCUCCCUCUCUCCUUCUCACUCUCACUCCUUCUCUCCCUGUCUCCUUCUCCCUCCCUCUCUGCUCCUCUCCUUUAUUUGUCUCCUCCUUUCUCCUCCUCUCUUUUCUCUCUCCUCCUCCAUCUCUCUCUCGCCCCCUCCUCUCCUCCUUCUCUCUCCCCCUCCUCUCCCCCCCUCCCUCUCUCUUCCUCUCUCUCUCCUCAUCCCUCCCUCUCCUCUCCCUCUCUCCUAACCCCCCUCCUCUUCUCCUUCCUCCCUCUCUCUCUCCUCCUCUCCUCUCUUUAUCUCCUCCUCUCUCAUCCUCUCCUCUUUCUCUCUCCGCCUCUCCUGUCUCUCUCUCCUCAUACCUCCCUCUCCUCCCCCCCUCUCCUCCUCUCCUCUUUCUCUCUCUCCUCCUUACUCUCGCCCCAUCUCUCCCUGUCUCCUCUUCUCUCUCAGUCUCCUCCUCGCUCUCACUCCUCUCUCUCCCUCCCUCUCCUCCUCUCCUCUUUCUCUCCUCCUGUCUCAUCCUCUCUUUCUCUCUCUCACUCCUCUCUCUCCCCCUCUCUCCUCCUCUCCUCUCUCCAUCAUUUCUACAGCUAUAAUAAGAGAAAAUACAAUAAAAUACAGAAAACUAAUUAUUUCAAAACAGAGGAAUUCACGGCUCUUCAUAAAAAUCAUUUGUAAAAACAUUUUCGAUCUGAAGUGUGUGACGCGCCGCCCCGCAGAGCUCGUCCUCCUCACACAUGGAGCACACGGGGCGGUCGUGCGAUUGUGGGGGAGCUGAAAUCCCCGUCCUGUGAUAUGGAGUCACGUCAGGGGCCCCGCUGAUGUCAUCUGGCAAAACCUCCGUUUGUAGAUGAAAGAAACAGCGAGUCCCACAGAAACGACUAAGACAAUAUUUGGAGCAGUGACACAUCAACGUCUCACGUCGAUAAAUGGCGUCUCGGUGAGUCUGACUUUACGUUGAAAAACUGUGUCCUCUCUCUGUAUCUGCUGCAAUGAACCUCGUCAUUUUGGUCUUAAAUGUUCGCAUUAACCCGCUCUACAUGAUCCUGGGGUUUAUUUCACUAUUGUGUCUGUAAAUCAAGAUAUGAACAUUAAUAACAGACAAAUCAGACGCCGUCUUUCCCCGAGGUCGCUCCUUCUAGCGUAGGGCUGUCCAAACUAGGGCCCCGGGGCCAAAUACGGCCCGCAGACCAAUUUUUGUUGGCCCUCAUGCCUCCUCCUAAACAUUUUUUUACUACAAAUUGAAGAGAUUCUACCUUUAUAACCUGAAUAACAUCACAUUUCAUUAAAAAUAAUCUUUCAAGUCUUUUUAACGGUACAAAGUCUCUGUCAAACCUGUGCUAAAUGCGCCGUUUGACUCCGUGUAUCGACUCUGGUCUGUGGCUCUCAGCUUCAAAUAUUUUUUAGUGUUUGGACACAAUCAUUUUUGGGGGGUCAGUUUUUAUCAUGGGGACUUUUUCUUUUGAGGUACUGGGACAUUUCUGGUUAUUUUUCUGUUUUACAAUGAGAUUUGAGCUGUGGCCGGUCGAAUUAUGAACUUCUGUAACUCAUUACAGACACAAAGUAAUUAUUUAAAUAUGUCACAGUCAUUUAAAGAAUCACUACUUUUCUGGUGGGAAUCUGUCAUCAGGGAUAUGUUAUUGUUUUUGUCUUGAGUCUUCCAUUGUGUAGCAUUAAAGGGUUAAUUUUACACUAUUCUUUGAUUUGUUCUAAUGUUGUUUCCUCGUCACAAACAGACCUGGAGUUAUGAUUUUUUUGUUUCAUUCACACAUUUAAACACACAAACCUGCAUAUUUAGGCUGCGUUCUUCUCUCAACCUGAAAACACUCCGUUCCACCUUGUGAUGUCAUCAUGUGGUGAUACAGGAAGUGCUCCACUGUGUUUUUAAACUCCAUAAACCUUCACUUUGAAUCAUUUGGAUGAUGUUAGACCUGAAAUGACCAAUCUCUACUCAAGUAAAAGGAGCUGUUAACUUGAA
ensembl:lncRNA